GAUGUAUACCGACCUGAAUCCUGAUACCUUUAUCCAAAAAUCUUAUGGCACCUCUAGUUCACCUCGGUCAUCUACCGUAGUGAGUUAUUAUUAUCAUAGACUCAAUCAUUCUGCAAACGCCCAUGGUGGUUUCCUCAACUAAACCACAGCUAGCCAUGAUCUCAUGUCUAGCUCAUAUGCACAGCUGUUCGUCAGCUUAUUUAUAGGUGACUUUCUAACUACCUAACAAACUUCUCUAAUGGCUUAACAAACUCUGGAACAGUCUUUUCAACCC
rnacentral:lncRNA from 1 species